rnacentral:rRNA from 1 species
AUUGAACGCUGGCGGCAGGCUUAACACAUGCAAGUCGAGCGGGGUGAUGGUGCUUGCACUAUCACUUAGCGGCGGACGGGUGAGUAAUGCUUAGGAAUCUGCCAAUUAGUGGGGGACAACAUCCCGAAAGGGAUGCUAAUACCGCAUACGUCCUACGGGAGAAAGCAGGGGAUCACUUGUGACCUUGCGCUAAUAGAUGAGCCUAAGUCGGAUUAGGUAGUUGGUGGGGUAAAGGCCUACCAAGGAGACGAUCUGUAGCGGGUCUGAGAGGAUGAUCCGCCACACUGGGACUGAGACACGGACCAGACUCCUACGGGAGGCAGCAGUGGGGAAUAUUGGACAAUGGGGGGAACCCUGAUCCAGCCAUGCCGCGUGUGAAGAAGGCCUUAUGGUUGUAAAGCACUUUAAGCGAGGAGGAGGCUCUUUUGGUUAAUACCCAAGAUGAGUGGACGUUACUCGCAGAAUAAGCACCGGCUAACUCUGUGCCAGCCGCCGCAGUAA